rnacentral:tRNA from 1 species
GUGGGCCACACAGGCUUCAAAACCGGGGAGUGGAUUGG